rnacentral:rRNA from 1 species
GACGAACGCUGGCGGCGUGCUUAACACAUGCAAGUCGAACGGAAAGGCCCUGCUUGCAGGGUACUCGAGUGGCGAACGGGUGAGUAACACGUGGGUGAUCUGCCCUGCACUUCGGGAUAAGCCUGGGAAACUGGGUCUAAUACCGGAUAGGAGCCAUUUUUAGUGUGAUGGUUGGAAAGUUUUUUCGGUGUAGGAUGAGCUCGCGGCCUAUCAGCUUGUUGGUGGGGUAAUGGCCUACCAAGGCGGCGACGGGUAGCCGGCCUGAGAGGGUGGACGGCCACAUUGGGACUGAGAUACGGCCCAGACUCCUACGGGAGGCAGCAGUGGGGAAUAUUGCACAAUGGGCGCAAGCCUGAUGCAGCGACGCCGCGUGGGGGAUGACGGCCUUCGGGUUGGAAACUCCUUUCGCUAGGGACGAAGCCUUUUGUGACGGUACCUAGAUAAGAAGCACCGGCUAACUACGUG